AUUGAACGCUGGCGGCAGGCCUAACACAUGCAAGUCGAACGAGUGGCGGACGGGUGAGUAAUGUCUGGGAAACUGCCCGAUGGAGGGGGAUAACUACUGGAAACGGUAGAUAAUACCGCAUACCAUCGGAUGUGCCCAGAUGGGAUUAGCUAGUAGGUGGGGUAACGGCUCACUUAGGCGACGAUCACUAGCUGGUCUGAGAGGAUGACCAGCCAAACUGGAACUGUGACACGGUCCAGACUCCUACUGGAGGCAGCAGUGGGGAAUAUUGCACAAUGGGCGCAAGCCUGAUGCAGCCAUGCCGCGUGUAUGAAGAAGGCCUUCGGGUUGUAAAGUACUUUCAGCGAGGAGGCGUUACUCGCAGAAGAAGCACCGGAUAACGCCGUGCCAGCAGCCGCGGUAAUUC
rnacentral:rRNA from 1 species